rnacentral:lncRNA from 1 species
CUGAGUUUGUGUGAUUGUCCACUUGAUGUGCAGUAUGGGGUGAGGGCCCUGGGGGAGUGAUGACCACAGCCAGCUGGAGCAUCAGGCAAGAGCGACGGGUGAGCUCCGCUGAAGAGCAGUGGAUGGUAAAGGGAAGAACUGCAGCUGUUGAUAAGUGAGAAGAGCUGGAUGAGGAGCACACUGAGGAUGGACAGCAGAGAAGGACCCUGGGGACGUGGGCUAAAUCUCGGCUAAAUUGUCCCUGAAGCUCCCCUGCAAACCUUUCA